AAUCUUAAAUCUAUAUCUGUAUAAGAAUUUUUUAAAUGUAAAUAGAGUAAGAGAAGAAAGUAUACAUAUUAAAAAAGUAUGGCUGCAUUUGUAAUACCUCUGUGGAAUUUUAACGCAAAUAUCCUGGCAUAGAUUGGUUUUUUCAGACAGUGACUCUGAUACAGAAGAUGUGAAGGAUUAUAUGCUUUUAUGUAUGAACAAAGUUGUGGUCAACUACAGAAGAAAGACAUCAGAAAUGGAGAGAGAAAAAAAGAUCUCAGUAAAAGAGAUCAGCUUGUAUUUCAGACAUUCUUUUCUGUAAAUUUUGACACUUUACCUGAUUGUUACUACAUGUGUAUAAAAAUCCAUGUCGUUUUGAAAGAGAGAGUGAGUGAUCGACUUGACAAGGAAUUCACUUGACAAGGAACUGGUGUUUAACGAAUAAUGAUGAAACCACAGUACCAAUAAUGAUUCAUCACACUUGUCAGAAAGGUCUCUUUUAUAUAGUUUAUACUGACAAAAUUUUGGUCUGGUUUCCAACAUUGCAAACAUACUUUGUAAUAUGGAAUACAUGUAUAUAGCUUUAAAUCAAUUUCAUUUAUUUAUUUUUUUAGUGAAGGACCUUGAUUAUGAACCAGACCACUGCUCCGACAGUGAUUCAGACUCUAAUUGAAGAAAACCAAGAUGAUCUUCCUGACAGUUUUAGGAAAGUGACCUCAUGAUAGAAGUUUCAGAAUGUCCUACCAUUGAUCCUGGAAGUGAAAAAGUAUCUGAUAGUGAAGAAAGCUACGGUAGCAUAGAGAGUGAAAACUAUCCCAUGCUCUCUGGAAAGAAAGAAAAAGACAUUUCUUUUUAAGCCAUAAGGUGUUCCCAAAAAUUCAAUUGGAAACUUUAACAAACUGCAUGCCUGCUUUUUUGUGAUAAGAUGAUUGCUAACAUUGCAAGACAUCUUGAACUAGCACACAAAGCAGAAAUUGAAGUAGCUAGAGUUUUAGCUUUCCUCCCAAAAAGUAAAGAAAGGGGAUAAAUGAGGGAGGAACUUCAAAGUAUUAAUGUGUGUAAUAUGUAUAAAUUUAUUUGAUGUAAUCACUAGUAAAACCGAUUUUGCUUAAUAUACAUUAUUUUCUAUGCACUGCAUAAUUAUGUAGAUGCAAUAACUGGGACUUAACAUUUGAAAAGAAGUUGUUUGUGAUUCUUUGCAAUUGUACGAUGAACCCGUAAGUUACAUCAUUAAAUAUAAUGCUAGAUUCAA